GGGAGAUUAAAUCCGGUGAGUUUCGGGAGUAGUUGAGGGAUUGUAAAAGCGAGAACAGGAUUCGAAUCCUUGAUCUGUUUAGCGAUUUCGCUGUUCGUGUUGAGUGGAUUCGUUGUAGUGAUUAUAGCUCCUAGUGACAUAACGGCGAGACAAAUAAUAGGGAAGAAAAUGGAAUUAGGAGAAAGGAGAAGAACAACAUCACCUUUACGAAUACUCAUAUCAACUGAUAAACUAGUAGCUAACGACUCAACGGCGUUCCAUACGUCGGAGAAACUGAGUUUCCGACCAGUCGUAGCAUCGAUGAAAGCGAUUUUCCCGCUAUGUGCUCGUGAAGAAAUGAAAGUUGUUACAUCAAUAGAUUCAUUCGCCGGAAACGGAAUUGGUCUACGUUUGCUGUAGAAAGUUGAAUUCGCCGGUGAAUAGCCGGAUUUUGGAUCGACGGUAGAAUUAUUGUUAUACUGUGCCAUCAUCGGGAUUCUCCGUCUAUAGUUAAG
rnacentral:misc_RNA from 1 species